CACCAGAUAAGACAGCUGAAUGAUAGUCGGGCUGAAGACUCUACUUGACUAGCUGAGAGGAGGUGCAUGGCCGUCGUCAGUUCGUACUGUGAAGCAUCCUGUUAAGUCAGGCAACGAGCGAGACCCACGCCAACAGUUGCCAGCUCGUCCUCCGGGAUGGUGGGGACACUGUUGGGACCGCUCUGCUAAAGAGGAGGAAGGAAUGGGCAACGGUAGGUCAGCAUGCCCCGAAUUAUCUGGGCUACACGCGGGCUACAAUGGGUGGGACAAUGGGUAUCGACACCGAAAGGUGAAGGCAAUCUCCUAAACCCAUCCGUAGUUCGGAUUGUGGGCUGCAACCCGCCCACAUGAAGCUGGAAUCUGUAGUAAUCGUGUCUCAAAAUGGCACGGUGAAUAUGUCCCUGCUCCUU
rnacentral:rRNA from 1 species